rnacentral:rRNA from 1 species
UACGUAGGUGGCAAGCGUUGUCCGGAUUUACUGGGCGUAAAGAGCGCGCAGGCGGUCGGAUUAGUCGCGUGUGAAAGCCCCCGGCUCAACUGGGGAGGGUCACGCGAUACUGUUCGACUCGAAGGCAGGAGAGGGAAGUGGAAUUCCCGGUGUAGUGGUGAAAUGCGUAGAUAUCGGGAGGAACACCAGUGGCGAAGGCGACUUCCUGGCCCAAUACUGACGCUCAUGUGCGAAAGCGUGGGGAGCAAACAGG